rnacentral:rRNA from 5 species
GGCGGCCUUAGCGCGGUGGUCCCACCUGACCCCAUGCCGAACUCAGAAGUGAAACGCCGUAGCGCCGAUGGUAGUGUGGGGUUUCCCCAUGCGAGAGUAGGGAACUGCCAGGC